GAUGGCAUGCCGCUAUAAAUUCAUUGUUCCACCUCCUCGCAUCUUCACAGCGCUCGCGCUGCUCUCGGCGCUCGCAGCGGCAGACUGGGGAUGACGGCGGGCAGGAAGACACUGCAUCCGAAGGGACCCAGACACGCCGCUUCGCUGGCUUGCCGCAGGCCGCCCCUGGCAUUUUUGUUUUAGUUUUUCUGCCUUUUUUUCCUCUUCUUCCCUUCCGGCCGGUUCCAGUAGAGUCAAGGAGACCCCUAAAUAAGAAAGGAAGCCGGUUCCGGACCUGGGAACCCCGCGGCUGGCGGGUCGGGAGCAGCAAGGAGCCUGGAGGAAAGCAUGCACCAGUCGCCCGCAUGAAUCCAAACAUUUUCCAAAGCAACAAAGAAAAGUUCGCACGCUGGCAUCGUGGCCGGGACAGGCUGGCGCUGCUACCGGGUUCCCCCUCCCUCCGACACUAGACUCAACCUUGCAAGCAAGUGUAUGUGUAUCCCCACCUCCCGCCCCGGUAACUUCCUGAGCUAUUAACAAAUAACCCACCAAGUGUCCCCUGGCGCGCAGCCCCUCCCCGCGGGCAGCGCACUAUGCUGCUCGGGUGGGCGUCCCUGAUGCUGUGCGCGCUCCGCCUGCCCCCGGUGGCCGCCGGCCCCGCCGCGGCACCUGCCCAGGAUAAAGCUGGGCAGCCUCGGGCUGCUGCUGUGGCUGCGGCCGCCCAGCCCCGCGGGUGGCGGGGGGAGGAGGCGCAGGAGCCGGCCGAGCCUCCGGGCCACCCGCACCCCCUGGCGCCGCAGCGCGGGAGCCGCGGGCUCGUGCAGAACAUCGACCAGCUCUACUCCGGCGGCGGCAAGGUGGGCUACCUCGUCUACGCGGGAGGUCGGCGGUUCCUCUUGGACUUAGAGAGGGACGAUUCGGUGGGCGCCGCUGGCCUGGUGCCCGCAGGAGGCGGACCGAACGCGACCCGGCGCCACCGGGGCCACUGCUUCUAUCGGGGCACGGUGGACGGCAGCUCGCGCUCGCUGGCGGUCUUUGACCUCUGCGGCGGCCUCGACGGCUUCUUCGCGGUCAAGCGCGCGCGCUAUACCCUGCAGCCGCUGCUGCGCGGUCCCUGGGCAGAGGCGGAGGACGAUGCGCGCGUCUACGGGGACGGGUCCCCGCGGAUCCUGCACGUCUAUACCCGCGAGGGUUUCAGCUUUGAGGCUCUGCCUCCUCGCACCAGCUGCGAGACCCACGCGUCCCCGCCAGGCGCCCGCGAGCGCCCCCCGGCGCCCCGCCGCCAGGACGGACGCUGGGCUCUGGCCCCGCAGCAGCUCCCGGGCCAGUCGGCUCCCUCGUCCGACGGGAGUCAGGGACCACGGACGUGGUGGCGGCGGCGGCGCCGCUCCAUCUCCCGGGCCCGCCAGGUGGAGUUGCUCCUGGUGGCCGACGCAUCCAUGGCGCGGAUGUACGGCCGGGGCCUCCAGCAUUACCUACUGACCCUGGCCUCCAUCGCGAACAAGCUGUACAGCCACGCCAGCAUCGAGAACCACAUUCGCCUGGUCGUGGUGAAGGUGGUGGUGCUGGGCGACAAGGACAAGAGCCUGGAGGUGAGCAAGAACGCGGCCACCACGCUCAAGAACUUCUGCAAGUGGCAGCACCAGCACAACCAGCUAGGGGAUGAUCACGAGGAGCACUAUGACGCGGCCAUCCUGUUUACUCGGGAGGAUUUAUGUGGGCAUCAUUCAUGCGACACCCUGGGAAUGGCAGACGUUGGGACCAUAUGCUCUCCUGAGCGCAGCUGUGCGGUGAUUGAAGACGAUGGCCUCCAUGCAGCCUUCACCGUGGCUCACGAAAUUGGACAUCUGCUUGGCCUCUCCCAUGACGAUUCCAAAUUCUGUGAAGAAAAUUUCGGCUCCACAGAAGAUAAGCGCUUAAUGUCUUCCAUCCUAACCAGCAUUGAUGCAUCCAAACCCUGGUCCAAAUGCACCUCAGCCACCAUCACAGAAUUUCUGGAUGAUGGCCACGGUAACUGUUUGCUGGACCUACCACGCAAACAGAUUCCAGGGCCUGAGGAGCUCCCGGGCCAGACCUACGAUGCCAGCCAGCAGUGCAACCUGACCUUCGGACCAGAGUACUCGGUGUGUCCGGGCAUGGACGUGUGUGCCCGCCUCUGGUGUGCCGUGGUGCGCCAGGGCCAAAUGGUGUGUCUGACCAAGAAGCUGCCGGCCGUGGAAGGAACGCCAUGUGGGAAAGGGAGGAUCUGCCUGCAGGGCAAGUGUGUGGACAAAACCAAGAAAAAAUAUUACUCGACAUCAAGCCAUGGCAACUGGGGGUCCUGGGGGUCCUGGGGCCAGUGUUCUCGCUCUUGUGGGGGCGGAGUGCAGUUUGCCUACCGCCACUGCAAUAACCCGGCGCCCAGGAACCACGGCCGCUACUGCACGGGAAAGAGGGCUGUCUACCGCUCGUGCAGCGUCACGCCCUGCCCAGCUAACGAUAAAUCUUUUCGUCAUGAGCAGUGUGAGGCCAAAAAUGGAUAUCAGUCUGAUGCAAAAGGAGUCAAAACGUUUGUGGAAUGGGUUCCCAAAUAUGCCGGUGUCUUGCCCGGAGACGUGUGCAAACUGACCUGCAGAGCUAAGGGCACUGGCUACUACGUGGUGUUUUCUCCAAAGGUAACUGCUCACAGACCAUCCAGAAACAGUGGGUGCCCUUGGCGGAAAUUAUUUGGUAGAAUGGAGGCUGCACAUACCAAAUGUAAACAGUCAUUAUUUGAGGGGUGGCUAGAUUUUGGAAGGUUUUAUUUUCACCUCUGUAAUUUCUGUGUUUUCAAACUUGCUACAAUGAAUCAAAAGGAUUUUGUAAACAGGACAAGUAAAUGUUUUAAAAGCUAUUUUUUGAAAAAGUGUAACUCUGUCAAGAAGAUGAGUUGUGACCUUAACUUCAAAAUAGUAUUCCUUAGGUACAUUUAUAAUUUGUCGUGUCUGACUCUUUGCAACCCCAUGGACUGUAGCCCAUCAGGCUCCUCUGUCCAUGGGAUCCCCAAGAAUACUAGAGUGUGUUGCCAUGUCCUUCUCCAGAGGAUCUUCCCUACCAAGGGUUCAAACUUGCAUCUCCUACACUGGCAGGCAGAUUCUCUACCACUGAGCCACCUGGGAAGCAAAGAUAAAUAUAAAGGAUACUUAAAGUUUGUAUUCCCUACUAGAUGGAAUGACUGCUUCUCAAAAGAAUACUUUUUUCAUAUUUUUAGCACAAAUUAUAUUUGUAAAGGGGACUAUAAAACAAGAAAGUUUUCUAUUUUUCUAUGUUUUAUUGAAGAAUUCCAUUGGUGA
rnacentral:lncRNA from 1 species